UACGUAGGGUGCAAGCGUUAAUCGGAAUUAUUGGGCGUAAAGGGCUCGUAGGCGGUUUGUCGCGUCGGGAGUGAAAACCCAGGGCUUAACCCUGGGCUGGCUUUCGAUACGGGCAGACUAGAGGUAUGCAGGGGAGAACGGAAUUCCUGGUGUAGCGGUGAAAUGCGCAGAUAUCAGGAGGAACACCGGUGGCGAAGGCGGUUCUCUGGGCAUUACCUGACGCUGAGGAGCGAAAGUGUGGGGAGCGAACAGG
rnacentral:rRNA from 1 species